rnacentral:snRNA from 1 species
CUGCUCGAUUAGGGAGCAUCCACACUGAAACAGGAAGGCUACAGAGAAGACCAGCAUGGCCUCUGUGCGAGGGUGACAAUCGAAUUUAAUGAAGUGUUCCGUAUUCUU